GUGUUUGGAGCUGGAGACGGCCUGGGUGCUGGCGAAGCGGAGGCCGGAGUUAAUACACGAGGAACUCAUGCAAAGGAGGGGACUUUCGGAAAUCCAAACUUAGAGUGCCUUGUAUUUAGAAUCCGGAAGGAAAAGGAAAUGAAAUGUGAAGAAACUCAUGCACCAAACUCGAACUGGGUAUAUGUGAUGUUACCUAGUAAGAAGACUGUUAGAAUGCCCUCGGUAACACAGAGGCUGAGAGAUCCUGACAUAAAUCCUUGUUUGUCGAUCCUGUUCUACCUUUUAAAUGAUGCCUCUCUUAUAUCUGUAAGGAAUCUGAUGCUUCCACCAGAUGUCUGGAUGAAAAUAACUAUGACAGGGAAAGGUGUUCCACUUACUUCUUGAGGUACAAAAACUGCCGGAGAUUCUGGCCGUGAAAGAUCCUUGAGAGCUCUUGUUAGCUGCCUCGUCGUCCUCUAAGCUAUAAGAAUGCAGUUUUAAUAUAGAAUUCUAUCGUGAUGCAGAGAAGAAAGAACGGAGUGAAGCCAUUUAUGCCUACGGCAGCAGAAAGAGAUGAAAUCUUGAGAG
rnacentral:lncRNA from 1 species